rnacentral:rRNA from 1 species
UACCAGCACCCCGAGUGGUCGGGGCGAUUAUUGGGCCUAAAGCAUCCGUAGCCGGCCUUACAAGUCCUCCGUUAAAUCCAGCUGCUUAACAGAUGGGCUGCGGAGGAUACUAUAAGACUAGGAGGCAGGAGAGGCAAGCGGUACUCAGUGGGUAGGGGUAAAAUCCGUUGAUCCAUUGAAGACCACCAGUGGCGAAGGCGGCUUGCCAGAAUGCGCUCGACGGUGAGGGAUGAAAGCUGGGGGAGCAAACAGG